UGGGGAAUAUUGGACAAUGGGGGCAUCCCUGAUCCAGCCAUGCCGCGUGCGUGAAGAAGGCCUUCGGGUUGUAAAGCGCUUUCACUGGUGAAGAUGAUGACAUUACCCGCAGAAGAAGCGCCGGCUAACUCCGUGCCAGCAGCCGCGGUAAGACGGAGGGCGCUAGCGUUGUUCGGAAUCACUGGGCGUAAAGGGCGCGUAGGCGGCUGCUUAAGUCGAGGGUGAAAGCCCGGGGCUCAACCUCGGAACGGCCUUCGAGACUGGGCGGCUAGAGACCGGAAGAGGAGGGUGGAAUACCCAGUGUAGAGGUGAAAUUCGUAGAUAUUGGGUGGAACACCAGUGGCGAAAGCGGCUCUCUGGUCCGGAUCUGACGCUGAGGCGCGAAAGCGUGGGGAGCAAACAGGAUUAGAUACCCCCGUAGUCC
rnacentral:rRNA from 1 species